rnacentral:rRNA from 1 species
UACGUAGGUGGCGAGCGUUGUCCGGAUUUACUGGGCGUAAAGCGCGCGCAGGCGGUUCUGUAAGUCCUGGGUGAAAUCGCCCGGCUCAACUGGGCGGGGGCCUGGGGGACUGCGGGACUGGAGGGGCCUAGAGGCCGGUGGAACUCCCGGUGUAGUGGUGAAAUGCGUAGAUAUCAGGAGGAACACCUGUGGUGUAGACGGCUUACUGGACCAUUACUGACGCUGAGGCACGAAAGCGUGGGUAGCAAACAGG